ensembl:misc_RNA 7SK 7SK RNA
GGAUGUGAGGGCGAUCUGGCUGCGACAUCUGUCACCCCAUUGAUCGCCAGGGUUGUUUCGGCUGAUCUGGCUGGCUAGGCGUGUGUCCCCUUCCUCCCUCACCGCUCCAUGUGCGUCCCUCCCGAAGCUGCGCGCUUGGUCGAAGAGCACAACCAUCCCCAAUAGAGGAGGACCGGUCUUUGGUCAAGGGUAUACGAGUAGCUGCGCUUCCCUGCUAGAACCUCCAAACAAGCUCUCAAAGUGGUAGAGUGCUCACCUUGAGCAAAAAGAGCUCAGAGUCAGUGCUCAGGUCCCAAGUUUAAACCCCGCAACUGACGGGAAAAAUAUAUAU